rnacentral:rRNA from 1 species
UACGUAGGGUGCGAGCGUUGUCCGGAAUUAUUGGGCGUAAAGAGCUUGUAGGCGGUUUGUCGCGUCUGCCGUGAAAUUUCGAGGCUCAACCUCGAACUUGCGGUGGGUACGGGCAGACUAGAGUGUGGUAGGGGAGACUGGAAUUCCUGGUGUAGCGGUGAAAUGCGCAGAUAUCAGGAGGAACACCGGUGGCGAAGGCGGUCACCUGG